UACGAAGGGGGCUAGCGUUGCUCGGAAUGACUGGGCGUAAAGGGCGCGUAGGCGGUUUGUACAGUCAGGUGUGAAAUUCCCGGGCUCAACCUGGGGGCUGCACUUGAUACGUAUGGACUGGAGUGGGGAAGAGGGUCGUGGAAUUCCCAGUGUAGAGGUGAAAUUCGUAGAUAUUGGGAAGAACACCGGUGGCGAAGGCGGCGACCUGGUCCUUGACUGACGCUGAGGCGCGACAGCGUGGGGAGCAAACAGG
rnacentral:rRNA from 1 species